AACGAACGCUGGCGGCAUGCCUAACACAUGCAAGUCGAACGAGACCUUCGGGUCUAGUGGCGCACGGGUGCGUAACGCGUGGGAACCUGCCCUUAGGUUCGGUAUAACUCCCCGAAAGGGGUGCUAAUACCGGAUAAUGUCUUCGGACCAAAGAUUUAUCGCCUUUGGAUGGGCCCGCGUUGGAUUAGCUAGUUGGUAGGGUAAAAGCCUACCAAGGCGACGAUCCAUAGCUGGUCUGGGAGGAUGAUCAGCCACACUGGGACUGAGACACGGCCCAGACUCCUACGGGAGGCAGCAGUGGGGAAUAUUGGACAAUGGGCGAAAGCCUGAUCCAGCAAUGCCGCGUGAGUGAUGAAGGCCUUAGGGUUGUAAAGCUCUUUUACCCGGGAUGAUAAUGACAGUACCGGGAGAAUAAGCUCCGGCUAACUCCGUG
rnacentral:rRNA from 1 species